GACGAACGCUGGCGGCGUGCUUAACACAUGCAAGUCGAACGGUGAAGCGCCUUCCUUUUUGGUGGGUGUGGAUGAGUGGCGAACGGGUGGGUAACACGUGAGUAACCUGCCCCCUUCUUCUGGAUAACCGCAUGAAAGUGUGGCUAAUACGGGAUAUUCUGGGUCUGUCGCAUGAUGGGUCUGGGAAAGAUAUUGUUUCGGUGGGGGAUGGGCUCGCGGCCUAUCAGCUUGUUGGUGGGGUGAUGGCCUACCAAGGCGGUGACGGGUAGCCGGCCUGAGAGGGUGGACGGUCACACUGGGACUGAGACACGGCCCAGACUCCUACGGGAGGCAGCAGUGGGGAAUAUUGCACAAAGGGCGCAAGCCUGAUGCAGCGACGCCGCGUGAGGGAUGGAGGCCUUCGGGUUGUGAACCUCUUUCGCCAGUGAAGCAGGCCUGCCUCGUUUGUGGGUGGGUUGACGGUAGCUGGAUAAGAAGCGCCGGCUAACUACGUG
rnacentral:rRNA from 1 species